rnacentral:tRNA from 1 species
GAGAGUAUUGUUUAACGGUUAAAACAAUUGUCUUUUAAGCAAUUUAUAGUGGUUCGAUUCCACUUAUUCUCA